rnacentral:rRNA from 2 species
CGCUUGAGGAGGGGGUCGCGGCCGAUUAGCUUGUUGGCGGGGUAAUGGCCCACCAAGGCGAUGAUCGGUAUCCGGCCUGAGAGGGCGCACGGACACACUGGAACUGAAACACGGUCCAGACUCCUACGGGAGGCAGCAGUGGGGAAUUUUGCGCAAUGGGGGAAACCCUGACGCAGCAACGCCGCGUGGAGGAUGAAUUCCCUUGGGAUGUAAACUCCUUUCAAUCGGGAAGAUAAUGACGGUACCGAGAGAAGAAGCCCCGGCUAACUUCUUGCCAGCAGCCGCGGUAAUA